ACGCUCGACACCUACGGAGGCAGCAGUGGGGAAUAUUGGGCAAUGGGGGAAACCCUGACCCAGCAACGCCGCGUGAAGGAAGAAGGUUUUCGGAUCGUAAACUUCUAUCCUUGGUGAAAAUAGUGAUGGUAGCCAAGAAGGAAGCCCCGGCUAACUACGUGCCACAGCCGCGGUAAUCUGAGCGGGCUGGCAAGGC
rnacentral:rRNA from 1 species